UAAAUAAACUUCUUUGUCAGUCAUAUUUUUAACUGUAACUAUACUGGAAAUUUUGUCACUUGCAGAUAAUUGUUGUCUUGCUUUGUUGCUUCUCAAAAAACAAUUUAUAAUCAAGCUAUAUUAAGGACUUUAACAGGUGUUCUCAAAUGCAGGCUUUUAAUAGCUCUAAAAAUUUUAACAUUGGAAUAGAAAAAGAACAUACAGGACUCAUAAAGAACUGAUAUGCGCUGGGCGUGGUGGCUCACGCCUGUAAUCCCAGCACUUUGGGAGGCCGAGGCGGGUGGAUCACGAGGUCAAGAGAUUGAGACCAUCUUGGUCAACAAGGUGAAACCCCAUCUCUACUAAAAAUACAAAAAAUUAGCUGGGCAUGGUGGCGCGUGCCUGUAAUCCCAGCCACUCAGGAGGCUGGGGCAGGAGAAUUGCCUGAACCCAGGAGGUGGAGGUUGCGGUGAGCCGAGAUUGCACCACUGCACUCCAGCCUGGGUAACAAGAGCGGAAAAAAAAAAAAAAAAAGAACUGAUAUGUUCACAAACAUCAGGCAGAACAAGAGUUAACUAAGUGAACUGCACUCAGAAAGUUUAAGCAAACUUUUUAACUUUUGCUUGGAAUAUUGCUGAUCCUUCUUUUGUUUUUCAGAGUCAAGGAAACUUAUUUUAAACUAUUUACAGCCUUUUAUAAUUAAGUCUGGAAGCUCUGAGUUUAUCUUGGGACCUCAAGAGGAGAGGAUCAUCCAACUCACAGGGAAACUGGUGCUUUAUUGUGAGGAGUACACUAUGGAGAGACCCAUGUGAAAAGGAACUGAGGACUCCAGGCAGAAGUCACCAAGGACUGAGGCUGCUGACAGCUGUGUGUGAACUCGGAAGCAGAUUGAUCCUUGCCCAAGCCUACACCUUGUCUACAGCCUUCAUGAGAGACCCUGAGUCAGGGGUGGACAUCCAAGCUGUGCCAAAACUGUUGACCCACAGAAACUGUGAGAUGAUACAUGUGUUUAAGCCCCCAUAUUGUGGAGUCAUUUAUUACACAGCAAAAGAUGGCUAAGACGAGCACUAUUUUUAUCCCUUGUGGGUUCAUGGCUUGGUUUCCCUACCUCCCACUGACUGAAUGUGACUAAAGCAAAAUCCUAUAAUCAGCUGUCGCUGAACAAUAUUAACUGAUUGUCUACUGCUUACUAGCAUGGCAGGAAUUCAAGAGUUUAUGAAGGAAAUGGCAACAGUGAGGCCGAGGAUUUACAUGCAGGAAAGGCUUCAUCCCGGCAAAUUACCCAGGGCAGACCUUGCCUCCUUCACUAUCUAAAAUAUCCAACUCUUAUAGCUUAAAAUCCUCAUCUCUCAUUGUCUGUCUUAUAGAAACCAUCCUAACCACCAAAACACAGCCACUCCAUUCCUUAUGAAGGGGCUCUUUAGAGAUGGGGAACCUCCUCUAGUUUUCCACUUGACUCUGGUCUUCCUCCUAGUUCCCUUCCUUCCGGGCAGAGGCUGAGGCCAGGCACACAGUACCUUUGCUCUUACUGUGUUUGCAAAAACAAUGGUUGCAUUUUCCCGUAGCUGACUACUAAAACUCUUGGCUGACUCAUUAAACAUUUUACUUUUGUCAGUUUCAAAGCACAGCUUACAUAUUAAUGAAAUCCACCAUCUCUCCUUUUGAUAAGGACUUUUGUCCGGUUUCAUGAUGUGGUUCAUUCUUGAGAAACAACAAAACAUGGUGGUUAAGAGCUUGGCGCUGGAUCCCACUUCCCAGUUUUAGGUUCUGGUUCUAAAAUUUACCCGCUGUGUGAUCUUGGGCAAUUUGCUUCACCUCUCUGCGCCUCCAUUUACACAUAAAAUAUUGGAUAAUAAUGACGUAGUUGUGAACCAAAGAACAUGUGUCCUUAUUUGGAAUGACUAGAAAUGGUUAGCUGUUUUAGAAUGACAAACAAUCAGGAAUACAUGGGCGACAGUCCUGAUGAUGCUUGGGCACAAGGAAGUAAACACGUGUAAAGUGCUUAGAGCAAGGGCUGGCUCCAAGUGAGCACCGAUGAGCCUUAGCUCCUACGCUAUUAUCACAGUAUCAUUUGGGGCAAAUAUAAAGCUAUCAUUUUUUAGAUCAAAAUGCUUUUCUGAGCUGUGACUACCUUCUUUGAUUCAAAUUUAUGAAAUUUUCCAUGAAUUGUGAAAUAACCCACCGGCCUAUACUGGCUUCUUAGAGAGAGUCACCCAUGACUCAAAUUCCUCAAAAGAAAUAAGAUGUCUUCCUCUCUGCAAAGGCUUGAGAAGUUAUUUGUAGCCAAAGGAUGGAGAUAAGGCUUGUGUUACUCCUGGAAGCAGAGAGGGGACCUAUUUAAUAGGCAAGAUGAGGAUACUACAGAAUCAUUUAUCAAACUUUCAAGCAACUGUGGUUUGUAAAAUAACUGAGACACCCUGGAAAAGUCAGAUCUCUUAGUCAAAGGAGAAUGCAAUUUAAGUUUCAGUAAUCCAUAUAGAAGAAAUGAAUACCUGCCCAAGGAUGAUGCAUAGAUAUUCACAAGGGCCUCGUAGAUGUUAUUAAUAGCAAUCAUUUUUAGUGGACUGAGAAACAGG
ensembl:lncRNA